rnacentral:misc_RNA from 1 species
GUUGACAUAGGAAGGAUCCUCAUAUCUCGCAACAGUACCCGUGGUUGGGUACUGAUCGACCCUCCUGACGUAGCCAGGAGGCGCCUUUUUAUCAUAAGCUUGAGCAGCAUAUGGCUGGGAUACCAAAUUGUAUGGGAUAUAAGGCCAUAUCUCUGCCUUCUUUCCAGUUGACUUUGCCUUCUUUAACACUUUGUUUGGUUCCACAUAGCCUGUUACUGUCACCUUCUGUUGUUUCCUGUUU